GCAAACUUGGUCAUUUAGAGGAAGUAAAAGUCGUAACAAGGUCUCCGUUGGUGAACCAGCGGAGGGAUCAUUACAGGACUCGCAAGACUCCCGUAAACCACUGUGAACUUACCUACAACCCGUUGCCUCGGCGGGUGCUCCGGGCGUCUUCGGACGCCCCGGGGCGCUCCAGCCCGCCGGCGGCCCCUAAACUCUGUUUUUAUAACGUUGGCAUCUCCGAGCAGACUAUAAACGAGUCAAAACUUUCAACAACGGAUCUCUUGGUUCUGGCAUCGAUGAAGAACGCAGC
rnacentral:misc_RNA from 1 species